rnacentral:rRNA from 1 species
AACGAACGCUGGCGGCAUGCCUAACACAUGCAAGUCGAACGAGACCUUCGGGUCUAGUGGCGCACGGGUGCGUAACGCGUGGGAACCUGCCCUUAGGUUCGGAAUAACUCCCCGAAAGGGGUGCUAAUACCGGAUAAUGUCUUCGGACCAAAGAUUUAUCGCCUUUGGAUGGGCCCGCGUUGGAUUAGCUAGUUGGUAGGGUAAAAGCCUACCAAGGCGACGAUCCAUAGCUGGUCUGAGAGGAUGAUCAGCCACACUGGGACUGAGACACGGCCCAGACUCCUACGGGAGGCAGCAGUGGGGAAUGUUGGACAGUGGGCGAAAGCCUGAUCCAGCAAUGCCGCGUGAGUGAUGAAGGCCUUAGAGUUGUAAAGCUCUUUUACCCGGGAUGAUAAUGACAGUACCGAAAGAAUAAGCUCCGGCUAACUCCGUG